rnacentral:rRNA from 1 species
CCUACGGGAGGCAGCAGUGGGGAAUUUUGGACAAUGGGGGCAACCCUGAUCCAGCCAUUCCGCGUGAGUGAAGAAGGCCUUCGGGUUGCAAAGCUCUUUCGCAAGGGAAGAAAACUUAUGAUCGAAUAAAUCAUGAGGUUGACGGUACCUUGAUAAGAAGCACCGGCUAACUACGUGCCAGCAGCCGCGGUAAUACGUAGGGUGCGAGCGUUAAUCGGAAUUACUGGGCGUAAAGCGUGCGCAGGCGGUUUUGUAAGUCGGAUGUGAAAUCCCCGGGCUCAACCUGGGAACUGCGUUCGAAACUGCAAGGCUAGAGUGUGUCAGAGGGGGGUAGAAUUCCACGUGUAGCAGUGAAAUGCGUAGAGAUGUGGAGGAAUACCAAUGGCGAAGGCAGCCCCCUGGGAUAACACUGACGCUCAUGCACGAAAGCGUGGGGAGCAAACAGGAUUAGAUACCCUGGUAGUCCACGCCCUAAACGAUGUCAACUAGUUGUUGGUAGAGUAAAAUCUAUAAGUAACGUAGCUAACGCGUGAAGUUGACCGCCUGGGGAGUACGGUCGCAAGAUUAAAACUCAAAAGUAGUAGUAGGACGUGAGAGAGCGACGACGACGACGACGGAGGAGGAGG